UCCGCCAUCUGCAGCUCCCUGCAGACUUGCAUGCUCAGACGGGAGCUGUCCACCGCCUGCAACAGGAAAAGGGCUUGCUUGCGUGUGGUAACCACCUUCUUCAACUUUCUCUGGAAGGAUUGUGGAGAGACCUUUUUCUGCUAGAGAAAGUGUGCAACAUGGUAAAGAGAACUGUAGGAAGAGAAAUGGCAGCCCUGCUUGAGCAGUGAGAAUAAUAAAAUGGUCAUCUGGAGAGCUCCAGAGACAGUUGGCAAGGUUCAAAUUCAAGCUUUACCAGAUUCUAGGGAUACAAUGGUGAACAGGCAAAUGAUGAAGUCAAGUCCUGGAGAUGACUGGUGUUUAGUCCCUAGUUGCACUAAACCUGUUUUCAUGGAGUUUACACGAGAAGUGGAGACAAAAGACAGACAAUAACCAAGUAGUCAGUAAACCAAUAAAAUAAUUUCAGAUAGUGGUUUGGUGUGGAGAUUACUGAUGAAGAGCUUGACUUACUACUUGACAGAAUCCCCUUGAUGAAGAUGGAAAUGUCAGAGACCCCCGAUUCAUGCCACGUUGGAUUCUUAGCACUUCUUUUCCACAUUUUCUCAUUUCUUCGUACAUUUUUUAUUCUUGCUUUUAGUACAGAGAAUGUACCCCUCAAAGUGCUAGGAUUAUUUAAAUUUUCUCUUUAUUGGCUGGUAUCUCACUUAUUAAUAUUUUAUAAGUGACAAAGGAUUUUUGAAAAAACAUUGUUAACAAAAAGGUAGAAUUUUUAAACGAUGAACUAUGGCAAUGCAUUUGAAACUAGUUAAUGUCUCGGAACCUGAAUAGUGGACAUGGGAGGGUAAUGUGUGACUGAGGUGACAAACGAGGCAUGUAAACUGUGUUUGCAGAGUUGGGAAGAAAAUUGCAGUUAAGUGGCAAAAUUCAAGUCCUGGAGAUGACUGGUGUUUAGUCCCCAAUUGCACUAAACACUCCCACACACACUGACUUUUACCCCUCACUUGCCUCCCAAGGGACUCCCAUUUACAAGACAUCUUUCUACUUUCUUCCCAGAGGAUUCUGCCUGGACAGUACAAUACACACCUAUUGCCAAUGGUUGUGUUAAAGGCAGAGCAAGAAUGCCUUCUGAAAUACUCUCAAUCUGUAUUUCUCUAUCAGGGAACCCAAGUUUUUACUCUUUUCUAAAAUCUUUUCAUGGAUUUUAUAGGGUAGAUCAAGGCUUAAGUAUUUAAAAUUCUGAUCAGUAUUGACCAUUUCAUUCCUCGAGUACUUUAAGGCAUGUUGCAGUCCCAGGCAUCUGAUGAUUUGGGCUGAAGCCACUGAAAGAUGGGCUGCUUCUUCCUAAAGAUACUUUUUUUUCCAUGGCAGUUUCGGAAUAUAACUAUCUUCAUCCCAUAUGCCUCCUGGACCAUCCUCCAGAUCUCAUGAUUAUCUCUUUAGCCAUGAAACCCACCCAUGUUUUCUGUUAGUUCUUGAUAGCAGGGUGGAAGUUACCAACCUGGUUUGGCUUGAAGGGCAUUGUAAGAGCAUGCUACAAGUCAGAGAAUGCCCUCAGACAGAGUCGCAGGUGCUGGCAGUAGGAAGCCCUCGAAGUGAAAGAGAACCAGGAGUGCUGAGGAGGUACCAGUAGGCCUUACCUAAAGGUAGCUGUCCCACCAAGAAUACCACGUCCAAGAGCAGGAUUCUCCUUCCAAAGUGUGUGUGUGGACUUGAGAAGCAGCCUUUGGAAGACGGGGCUGCCCAGACUUUAUAGAGCCUACUUCAAUUUCUCGGAGGUCUGCAAUCUCAGGUUGUCAGUCAUCCAGGACCUUGGCUGUUGGUGAGACAGAGUGCUUCCUUUUGGGUGAAGAACUCUGUAUUACUUUCCUAGGGCUGCCAUCAUGAAGCACCACAAACUGGGUGGCUUAAAAUGACAGGAAUGUAUUCUCUCAGAGUUCCAGAGGCUGGAAGUUCAAGAUCAAGGUGUGAGCUGGGGCACGCUCCCUCUGAGCUCCGAAGAAUCCUUCCCUCCCCUUUCCUUGCUUCUCAGGGUGACUGGUAAUCCCUGUGAGCCUUGUUCUGCGGCUGUUCCACUCUCAUCUUUGCCUCUGCUGUCAUAUGGCACACUGCGUGUCUCUGUCUCUGUGUCCAAAUUUCCUUGCUCUCAUAAAGACACCAGUCUUCUCCGAUUGAGGGCUCAACUUACUGCAGUAUGACUUGUCUUAAC